UACGUAGGGUGCAAGCGUUGUCCGGAAUUAUUGGGCGUAAAGAGCUCGUAGGCGGUCUGUCGCGUCGGCUGUGAAAUCCCGAGGCUCAACCUCGGGUCUGCAGUCGAUACGGGCAAACUAGAGUAUUGCAGGGGAGACUGGAAUUCCUGGUGUAGUGGUGAAAUGCGCAGAUAUCAGGAGGAACACCGGUGGCGAAGGCGGGUCUCUGGGCAAUAACUGACGCUGAGGAGCGAAAGCGUGGGGAGCAAACAGG
rnacentral:rRNA from 1 species